rnacentral:rRNA from 1 species
GACGAACGCUGGCGGCGUGCCUAAUACAUGCAAGUAGAACGCUGAAGGAGGAGCUUGCUUCUCUGGAUGAGUUGCGAACGGGUGAGUACCGCGUAGGUAACCUGCCUGGUAGCGGGGGAUAACUAUUGGAAACGAUAGCUAAUACCGCAUAAUAUUGACUAUUGCAUGAUAGUCAGUUGAAAGGUGCAACUGCACCACUACCAGAUGGACCUGCGUUGUAUUAGCUAGUUGGUGGGGUAACGGCUCACCAAGGCGACGAUACAUAGCCGACCUGAGAGGGUGAUCGGCCACACUGGGACUGAGACACGGCCCAGACUCCUACGGGAGGCAGCAGUAGGGAAUCUUCGGCAAUGGACGGAAGUCUGACCGAGCAACGCCGCGUGAGUGAAGAAGGUUUUCGGAUCGUAAAGCUCUGUUGUAAGAGAAGAACGAGUGUGAGAGUGGAAAGCUCACACUGUGACGGUAUCUUACCAGAAAGGGACGGCUAACUACG